UCUGAAUCUGCGAACGGCUCCGCAAACCAGUUGUAAACCAAAGCAAGCAUACUCGGGGUUUGCCCUUCACGGGGUCGGCUACGGGUGAUACGGGUAACCCUGGUAAUUCUGAGGCUAAUACGAGAAUGUACUCCCUGGCUAACCGGGAAACUGGUAGGCUGGGGGGCGUGUGAUCUAUUUGCAAGACGAUUCCAGGAAGGGGUGCACGCUCUGACCGCGACAAAGACAGUUCUGACGGACCCUCACGGGCGAGUUGGUUCUGAGCGGCUCUUGCGAAGUGCUUCUGACCUAUCAACUAGACGGCAGCGUAACGGACAUGCCAUGGU
rnacentral:rRNA from 3 species